GGCUCACCCAUGUCAUUAGAUAAAUCAGUUUGACUGAUUUAGGUGCUCCUAAUGCUGGCUUAAUUAAAUUUUUUUUAAUCUGACUUGGUGAAGUCAGUGGAAGGAUUGAAAUUGGCUGGUAAGUUAUCUUCUCAUCUAUUCUUUAAUAAAAUCCUCAAAAAUUAUUAGGUCCUAAAAAUGAUUAAGUUAUAUUGAUAACUAAGUCAUAGCCUCCCAUUAAGUGAGUCAUAAUGAGUCCAUUAGUUUAAUAAUCAUUGGAGGCCCAAAGGCCUGGUGCUUAUUGACUAAUGAAAUUAUCAUUCAUAGUAUGAUAAUUUGGUUUGAGUCUUUCUGAUGGUGGUUAGGUUGGCCGACCAAAGUCGGGCUUGAUCAUUUAUUGGUCCGAUUCACCAAAUCAAAUCAUGUUAAUGGUUGGACCUAACCAGAUUUUUUCAGUGGAGGCCAAAGCCUACUGAUUAGGUUCUGGGGCAAAAUUAAUUACUAGAAGUUGUUUAGAGAAACAACUGAUUAUGAACCUACCCAUAGAUGCACAUGGGUUGACCAACCAAAGUUGGGCUCGUGUGUAGUCUGUGUGAAUUCUAGUACCCACUAAGGAAUUAAAGUAAUUCCU
rnacentral:lncRNA from 1 species